CACGUAGGGCGCAAGCGUUGUCCGGAAUUAUUGGGCGUAAAGAGCUCGUAGGUGGUUUGUUACGUCUGCUGUGAAAACCUAGGGCUUAACCCUGGGCUUGCAGUGGAUACGGGCAGACUAGAGGUAGAUAGGGGAGAAUGGAAUUCCUGGUGUAGCGGUGAAAUGCGCAGAUAUCAGGAGGAACACCGGUGGCGAAGGCGGUUCUCUGGGCCUUACCUGACACUGAGGAGCGAAAGCCAGGGGAGCAAACGGG
rnacentral:rRNA from 1 species